ACUGAAAAUAGUGUUGAAUUUUUGUUUAGAAAUUGUAUUUCUAACCCGGAAAUGUGAAACUUCCUCGUUGAUAUGUCGAAAAAUAUGGGAAAUUUGGAAUUAUUAAAUCGUCAGAAAAAAUCAUCCCAAUUUUCAAAAUCAGAUAUUUUCGUGAUUAUUGAAUUCUUCUUGUAACGCAGACGCCUAAAGAUGAGAAUUUUCGGUAGAUCAUGGGUCUCGCCACGCGGGCAAUGCGUUACAGUAAUCUGCUAUCCGCGUUGCGAGACAUUUCGUCGUUUGCA
ensembl:snoRNA T15H9.8 ncRNA